CCCAUGGCGGAUUGGUGUCGGCCAGUUAUGUGGUGGAUGACGUGAGUUGCGUGGAGGAAGAAGAUGAGAAGGGCUCAGAGAAUGAGGACAGUGAUGACAGCACCAGAAAUUCGGAAGAGGAGGAGUCAGACUCAGGGUGAGCCCAAGAUGAUGUGAAGGAAAAGAUAAUUCAACUUUACGAACGGAAGCUACAUGAAGACUUUGAUACGAACAAACAUAUUCAGAAGAAGAAAGAGUUCCACAACCCAAGUAUUUAUGAGAAGCUAAUCCAGUUCUGUGGCAUUGACGAACUUGGAACCAACUAUCCAAAAUCAAAGUUCAGAGAGUGGAGAUGGACAAGCUGGAAAAUUCCAAAAAGAAGAGGACCAAGGUAAUGAGUCUAGUG